rnacentral:rRNA from 1 species
UACGUAGGGUGCGAGCGUUAAUCGGAAUUACUGGGCGUAAAGCGUGCGUAGGCGGUUCGUUAUGUCUGCUGUGAAAUCCCCGGGCUCAACCUGGGAAUGGCAGUGGAAACUGGCGGGCUUGAGUGUGGCAGGAGGGGGGGUGGAAUUCCGCGUGUAGCAGUGAAAUGCGUAGAGAUGCGGAGGAACACCGAUGGCGAAGGCAGCCCCCCUGGGCCAAUACUGACGCUCAUGCACGAAAAGCGUGGGGGAGCAAACAGG